ensembl:lncRNA
UUUAUAUUUAUCAUAUUUAGGUUUCAUGUAUGUGUAAUUUUGAACAGUUCAGUUAAGUCAAACUUUUUUUAUUUUUUUGACUCAGGGUCUCGUUAUGUAGCCCAGGCUGGCCUCGAACUCGCAGCAAUACUCUUGCCUCAAAGGCCUCCUGAGUGCUGGGAUUACAGAUGGAAAAGUAAUUCUUGCUGAUAAUAGCUGUUGACUGCUCUUGGACUUUGAGACCGAGGGCCUUACCAAACGCUCCGAGGAGCUGACUGCAGCGACGAUCACCCGGGAAGGAACACACCGGACAAGUUGGAAAGUAAAACAGACCUUUAUUAGUCUGGCCAGACGGCACUCCCAAAGCAAAGUAGCUAAGAGAGGCAACUGGCUCAGAGUCCGAGGCUGUUUUUAUAGGGGGUUGAGGGGAGGUUAACAUGUAGAUUUACGGAAAAAAAAGGAACAAAGGUUGGUGGUCGACUGUCACGUACUAACGGUCAGCAGACACACAGUAAUGGUCACGACCAUAUGGUCACGACCGUCACGUACUGAUGAUCAGCAGACACAGUGAUGGAUUGUUCUACCGAUAGUGGGUCCGGGAAUUUUUGUUCUCCGGACAAACAAGGGGUUGAAUGAUUUACUUAGGAACUUUGCUUUGUUACAGAUUUUAUCUACUAUUUCAAGACUAACAAGCACAUUUUAACCAUUAAAUUUUAAACAUAACAGAGGCUAGGGGAAUAAAUGAAUUUUGAAUCAUACAGUCCCACAGUUGGCACACUGCUAUGAACAUCUGUUUGAGAAACAUGAUCUGGACAAUGUCUUAGUACCUUAGGUCUAGUUCACAGUGCUUUGUUCAAUGGAGAAGACCUUAGGGGGGAAAAUUAUAAUUACUACCAAAGGAGUAUCUCCCAUACACAAAGUAGAGGCAGUAUUGCUAAAGAAGUAAAUCCUGCGCAAGAGAAUCAUUUAAGAAGCAAGGUCCUGAGUUUGAUCCCCAGUACCAAAAACCAGGGCAACUAAUACUAAUUUAUCUUCAUUUUGUUUGUGAAAAUAACCUAUAAUUUUGUGCUACAAUCUAUAAACACUCUUUAUCAUAAGUACAUUACAUAUAAUUUUUAUACUUCUCAGGGUCGGGGAUGUAGCUCAGUGGUUCUGCUGCCUGCCUUGCAAGCACAAGGUCCCAAGUUCAAUCCCCAGUACCAAAAAAAAAGAAAGAAAAAAAGAAUUUUUAUACUUCUCCAGAACUCAGUGAAACUCUUUUUUUGAGACAGGGUCUUGCUAUGUCUUGAACUUGUAGUAAUCCUCCUGCCUCAGCUUCCUGAGUGCUGGGGUUACUCAGUGAUAUUCUCUUACAAUACAAAAACUGACAUAUUUGGGACAUUGAGACUGAAUAGGAAGGAAGUACCAACAGAUCUACAAAAGAAAAAAUUGAAGAAGGGAGAAAUGUUAGCAUAUCUAAGAAGAAAAGUCUGUGCUAUGAAAUGGAAAGAAAAAAAGACAUCUCCUUGUUGUCAACUAUCCAUAAUGUAGAAAUGAUAGAACUUGAAAGAAGAAAUGAAACUUAAAAAUUCCAGUAGUGGUCAGUAAUUAUAAUAAUUCUAUGGGUGGUGUUGACAGAGUUGACCAACAUCUAACAAGCUAGCCUGUAAUCAAAAAGUGAGGGGGAAAAAGUUUUACUUUAUUUUAUUUUAUCACAUUUUCUCAGGCCCCCUACCCUCCCUACGUACAAAAGCUCUGUUUCCAUUUUUUCUUUCUAUUUUCUCUAGGAAAAUAAGUAUUAUAAAAAUUUUUUUUUUUUUUUUGGAUAUUGGAGAUUGAAUUUAGGAUGUUGUGCUUGCAAGGCAGGCAUGGUGCCACUGAGCUAAAUCCCUGGCUCCUAAAAUUUUGUUUUUUGAGACAUGGUCUCAUGUAAUUCAGGCUGGCCUUGAACUCAGCAUUCCUCCUGCCUCAGCCUCUUGAGUGCUGGGAUUAUAGGCAUGUGCCACCAUGCCUGGGUGUUAUAAAUUAUUUAUGGACCUUCUAGACCAGACAAUAUGGAACUCGUUAUUUGUUCAAAAGGGGAUUCAAAAAG